GAGCCAGCCAAUGAAUCUGCUUACCUGAAUGUGUUUGUGCAGAAAUUUUUUAAAAGCUGGCAAUAGUAAAGCCAUGUUACGAGUCUUAAGGAUAUUGAAGUCAUUUAAGGUCCCUGAAAAUGGCUAUAAGA
rnacentral:snoRNA from 1 species